GCAAGCGAAUCCUAAAGCUUCUCUCCAAAGAGAGACACCAAACGCUGGAGUAAGAACUCCCAGGUUCCUAAACUCCACGAGCUUCUGCUGCGCUACUCUGAUCCUUCUCUAUCUUCCUCCUUCUCUGCUCUUACUCUUCUUAUCUCAUCUUUACUAACUGGCUUCUUCUCACUACUAACCCAAAGCUAACUCUAACUCUCACAGGUAGUACCCGAAUUUCCGAUCUACCUUGGAAAACAACCAGCUCUUACUAGCUGUCCCAAUAGAUCAUCCAUCCUACAUGGGAAUACCUGCCCUUGGUAGUGACCUUGUUUAACCGCUACAGUCGUUACAAAGUCUCAAGGAUUCACCCUUCGUUUCCCACAACCACACUGGAACACACCAGGGUGAGGUACUAGGUCGGACAAAACCCCUUGUCUACCAAGUCUCGCCUCUACUCUACUGCUACCUCUCUCUAUGCAGGCGCCAUCCUAUAGGGAAGGGUAGAAAUGGUUCUGCGUCCAGACACCACUCCUAAACCAAACUCUAACUCCCUGACAGAUGGUAAACCUGACAACUCGCCUGAGAAGACAUCUAAGAAUCCUCUCUAACAACUGGCACUGAGGCUGGUUCCCCGACCUGACUGCUGAACUCUCAAACAAGAGCUAGAAUCCUCUGACAACCCCUCCUACGCACCCUACGAACCUUACAGGCUGACAUCAAACCUCUAGGCGUCCCUACUGUGUCCCCUCAGAAGAAAAUCUUUGACCCAUCCUGUCCUCUGAACCUGGCCACCUAGUCUCUACGGACCAAAGUAGUACCACAAGUAGAAACCCAAUCCAUUCUGAAAGUGACGUCUGAACAUUCAAGUCCAAGACCUCAAAAUCGGGUGGAUGGAUUCUACCCUCAGCUGACACCUGAACUGAACCGGCAGACUAACUCUGCCUCAGAUGGAUCACACUUGGGUCCACUGACCCUGAGAGAACACUCUAGCCUAGAAGUUAUCAACUCAACCUCUCGACGGCUCCUAGAGCAACUAAAGAAAGAGAAAAACACUAGGGUUCACAAAAACACACACAUCAGAACAUCUAAAAGUGAGCAUACCUGGCACCACUGUGUUCGAUGUGUCUGCCCCUUGCUGAGCUUGGGUGAAGAUCCGAGCUGGAGCUGACGGACCUUCUCCACGGGAACCUGAAGAAUGAGGGGCUGACCCUCUUCCUCUGCCUCGACUACUAACCUGAACCAUGGCUGGAGCUGCUGGCUGGAACUGAGCCAACCUGGGCACAGUGGGACACUCACGUGCUAUGUGUCCUUCCUGUCCACACCGAAAACAAGCUGUCGUCCCUACUCGACAGACUCCUUUGUGCGGCCUUCCGCACCUCAUGCAUCUUGGACUGCCUGAGCCAGAGCUUGAGCCACCAAAACCCAAACUAGCCUUCAAAUUCUGCCAAAACUUCUUCUGCGACUUCCUGAGACCUCUCUUCCAUUUCUUACCUCUCGUGGCAGCUGUACUCAGAGUGGAGGGAUCAAUCCCUCCUGAACCCGAGAUUCUAGAAUCCUGGGUCUGAGCAUCUUCCUNNN
rnacentral:lncRNA from 1 species